rnacentral:rRNA from 1 species
UGCAGUCGAGCGGGAUUUGGGAGCUUGCUCCCAAAUCUUAGCGGCGGACGGGUGAGUAACACGUGGGCAACCUGCCCUGCAGACUGGGAUAACUCCGGGAAACCGGAGCUAAUACCGGGUAAUACAUCGCACCGCAUGGUGCAAUGUUGAAAGUUGGCUUUCUGAGCUAACACUGCAGGAUGGGCCCGCGGCGCAUUAGCUAGUUGGUAAGGUAAUGGCUUACCAAGGCAACAAUGCGUACCCAACCUGAGAGGGUGAUCGGCCACACUGGGACUGAAACACGGCCCAAACUCCUACGGGAGGCAGCAGUAGGGAAUCUUCCGCAAUGGACGAAAGUCUGACGGAGCAACGCCGCGUGAGUGACAAAGGCCUUCGGGUCGUAAAGCUCUGUUGUUAGGGAAAAACAAGUACCGUUCGAAUAGGGCGGUACCUUGACGGUACCUAACCAGAAAGCCACGGCUAACUACGUGCCAGCAGCCGCGGUAAUACGUAGGUGGCAAGCGUUGUCCGGAAUUAUUGGGCGUAAAGCGCGCGCAGGCGGUCUUUUAAGUCUGAUGUGAAAGCCCACGGCUCAACCGUGGAGGGUCAUUGGAAACUGGAGGACUUGAGUGCAGAAGAGGAGAGUGGAAUUCCACGUGUAGCGGUGAAAUGCGUAGAUAUGUGGAGGAACACCAGUGGCGAAGGCGGCUCUCUGGUCUGUAACUGACGCUGAGGCGCGAAAGCGUGGGGAGCAAACAGGAUUAGAUACCCUGAUAGUCCACGCCGUAAACGAUGAGUGCUAAGUGUUGGGGGGUUCCACCCUCAGUGCUGAAGUUAACACAUUAAGCACCUCCGCCUGGGGAGUACGACCGCAAGGUUGAACUCAAGGAAUUGACGGGGCCCGCACAGCAGUGAGCAUGUGUUUAUUCGAAGCAACGCGAAGACCUUACAGUCUGGACAUCUCUGACAUCUGGAGACAGACGUUCCCUUCGGGGACGAGUGACAGUGUGCAUGAUGUCGUCAGCUGGUUCUGAAUUAGUAAGUAC